GUGUGUGUCCUUCAAACAUCUACCUCUUAUCUCACCAUAUAACAUAGAACAUCCUUAAUAAUCAUACCAUUGUCUGUGUUUUCUACUCUUUCCUCUCAUUCAAACUCCGCGUCGCCCGUCUGGUUUAGGACGCCGUGGAGUUUAACCAAAAUGGCAAUGAUGAGCAGGGCUUCAAUGUUGGCGGUGGCCAUCUUUACUCUUGUCCUGGCUGCCGUCAGUUUUCCGGCCGUCGCAGAUCAGGCUGCUCCACCCUCUUCUCCCACGGCCACCAGCGAUGGAACUAGCAUUGAUCAGGGGAUAGCGUACCUUCUAAUGCUGCUUGCUUUGGCGCUGACCUACAUUAUUCAUUAAGUAUGAGCCAUUGAGCCUGACCAGACCUUUGGAGUUUGAGAGAGUAGAGAGAUUCACGUUUUUGUCCUCGUGGCAUUCUCUAAUUUUGUCUUCACUCUUCGAAUUUUGUAAACUAUAAUAAUAAUAAACAUUUUGCCCCGUUUAUUCUUUAAA